rnacentral:rRNA from 1 species
UACAGAGGUCUCAAGCGUUUGUUCGGAUUCAUUGGGCGUAAAGGGUGCGUAGGUGGCGCGCUAAGUCAGGUGUGAAAUUUCGGAGCUUAACUCCGAAACUGCAUUUGAUACUGCCGUGCUUGAGGACUGGGAGAGGAGACUGGAAUUUACGGUGUAGCGGUGAAAUGCGUAGAUAUCGUAAGGAAGACCAGUGGCGAAGGCGGG